AGACUGCAGCACAUUGUGGGAUAAUGUGUUCAAAAAUGGACCUUGAAACCCGUGAAGGUGGUGGUUGCCAGCAGGUUUCAAUUCUCAUGGUCACAUCUGACAGAGAAAAGGAACAGUAUGAGAAAUUUAUGAACAUACUUAAGAAUCUUUCAAAUUGUACUGAUAUAUCUCAGGUCGUGGCAGAUGCUAAAAAAAUCUAUGAUUCCAGGGAAUUUUGUUAUGUGCCUGCCCUUCUCACUCUGUUCAAGAAGUUGCCUUCUGUUCAUAAAUGGCCUGAAAAUGAAAACUGUAAUGAGGUGCUAAGUGCUGCCUUCUUUGUGUGCCAGCUCUUAUUUUUUCAUAACUUCCCAGCCUCACCAGCUUUUACAGUGGAUGAAAUGUUUGCAACAGUGGCUGCUAGAUUGAAGGAUCUGAUAGAAUAUUCAUGUGACUGUGAGAACUGUGAAUUGUUGGCUGAAUCCCUGACAAAUUAUAAGUUUUCCCUGGUACCUAUAAAGAUCAGGCCACACACCGAUACCUGUGUCUCACUGAAAACACUCCAGCGGCUACGGACUGCCAUGUUAGGCAAUCCUGAAACCCUGAGUAUUUGGACCCUUGAUGACCUGGUGGAGGACCCAGUAGUCUUCAAAGGCUAUGAAAGCGCAAUUAGGAGAGAAUUUGCUGAGCAUGUCACAUGUUUGAACAUGUGCUGGGUUGUGAAGAUAAUCUUGGACUGCAUGUCUCAGCCAACAGCUCUGCUUCGGGAUUGUAUUCAGAAGGGUGCAAAGAAUAAUGGACUCCAGCUGGACACUUCGAGUACCUGGACGUGGCCAGCAGCACGUAUUGCUGAAAAGGAAGUCAUAGAACAUACCAUGAGUGUUUGUGUACAGGAUAUGACUAGAAGUCAUGAUCAGGAAUUCUACACAGAGGCCUUUAAGGAAGAUCUCCAUAUAGGAUUAAAGAGACUAGUUGCCAUGGUCCUUGGGCAGAAUCAUAGUUGGUUAGAUGGCUUUCUGACAGACACUAUAGUGACAGGUAAAGCAUAGCCUGGGGCAUAGUUCUUUGAUGAAUCAUCAUAAAUAUGAUGGCUAAUGUGGUCCUUUUGUGUAUUAAUGCAGAUAUGUUUAUGUAUCCAGGUGUGUUGCUUGAAAGGUAUUUUGCUGUACUAACCCAACACCACCUAUUUAUCAUGUUUGGAAGCCUAUUAAAAACUGUGCUAUUGAC
rnacentral:tmRNA from 1 species